AGAGUUUGAUCAUGGCUCAGAGUGAACGCUGGCGGCAGGCCUAAUACAUGCAAGUCGAACGGCAGCACAGCAGAGCUUGCUCUGUGGGUGGCGAGUGGCGGACGGGUGAGGAAUACAUGGGAAUCUGCCCAGUCGUGGGGGAUAACGUAUGGAAACGUACGCUAAUACCGCAUGCGCCCUUAGGGGGAAAGUCGGGGACCGCAAGGCCUGACGCGAUUGGAUGAGCCCAUGUUCGAUUAGCUAGUUGGCGGGGUAACGGCCCACCAAGGCGACGA
rnacentral:rRNA from 1 species